rnacentral:lncRNA from 1 species
CCCACUCUGUGGACCCCACAGGCUCAGCGGCAUAUCCCCUUUCCAGGGUGAAACAGAAAAUGAUAUUGCCAUCAGUAUUAUCAAAGGCACUUUUGAAUAUGAGGACGCAUACUUCAAUUCCACAUCAGCCAUAGCCAAGGAUUUCAUCAGCCAGCUGCUGGUUAUUAACCCUAAGUAUCCAAUGAGCACCUACCCUGGAACAUUCUCCUCCACCCCUUGAUUCUCUCUGCCAACUGUAUGUCUCAAUCCUUCUGCCCUAGUCUCCACCACUGCCUUAUUUCUUUUGCCUGUUCCCAUCUGCGAAAGCUGAGUGAUCUAGAGAGACUCUAGAAUAGACAAAAGGAUACCAUGGAAAGAACACUGGAUUUGGAAUCAGGAUCUGGGUUCAAAUCCUGACUUUGCCAGUUAUAAAUUAUCAGUUGGAUGACUUUGACCAUGUCACUUAAUCUUUUAGUUCUUUAACUGGAAAUUGAAGAAGUUAGAUUAGAUGAUAUCUAAGGUCUAUUCCUGUUCUAAAUCCCAUAGUCCUUUCACAGAGGGGAGGGAUUAAGGCUGGGUGGAGAGAAAUUAAGGCCAUUCCUUCAAGGAGGACUGGCCUGUCUGAGAAUAGAUUUGGAGAUGAGGAUGGGCAGAGGGGAAUGUGAGGAUGGGAACAGGGAAGGAGGAAGUUUGCUUGGUGGCGGUGGAGAGUGCCAAGAAAUGAUGGAGGCAGGGACCCAGGGCUAUGCCAACCCUAUCUGUUUGUUUUGCAGGGAACGGAUGACAUCAGCUCAAGCUCUCCUUCACCCAUGGAUUAAGCUCUCCUGCUACAUGAUCACCCCCUGUAGUCACUUUUGCAGAAUGAAUAUGCUCUAUUACCAAACCAAGGAUGAUGAGGAACUGAGAUCCUGUGAGAGCAACCAAGAGGAAUCCACAAUGCCCUCUGCUUCCCUCCUCUGCCGAAGACACAGCAGCUACUCCUGAAUCUGGAAAGCAGGGAUGGGUGGAGGAAGCCUCCUACCCGGCUAACAUACUCUUUGCCUGGUUGGAGGGAGCAAAGGCCUGUGCCAGCGGUAAUGGGAGGGGAUAUGCUAUUACUCUUUGCUACUAUACUCCUUUCCCCUUAUCUUCCAUACUCCACCCCUACUCUCCAGUUUUUUUUUCACUCAACAUGAAGCAGAUAUUCUCC